rnacentral:rRNA from 1 species
UACGUAGGGUGCGAGCGUUAAUCGGAAUUACUGGGCGUAAAGCGUGCGUAGGCGGUUCGUUGUGUCUGUGGUGAGAGCCCCGGGCUUAACCUGGGAAUGGCCAUGGAAACUGGCGAGCUGGAGUGUGGCAGAGGGGGGUGGAAUUCCGCGUGUAGCAGUGAAAUGCGUAGAGAUGCGGAGGAACACCGAUGGCGAAGGCAGCCCCCUGGGCUAACACUGACGCUGAGGCACGAAAGCGUGGGGAGCAAACAGG